rnacentral:rRNA from 1 species
GACAGAGGUCCCGAGCGUUGUUCGGAUUCAUUGGGCGUAAAGGGUGUGUAGGAGGUCGGGUAAGUCAGGUGUGAAAUCUCAGAGCUUAACUCUGAAACUGCGCUUGAUACUGCUCGGCUAGAGGAUCGGGGGGGGUAACGGAAUUUAUGGUGUAGCAGUGAAAUGCGUAGAUAUCAUAAGGAACACCGGUGGCGAAGGCGGUUACCUGGAAGAUUCCUGACUCUGAAACACGAAAGCCAGGGGAGCAAACGGG